rnacentral:rRNA from 1 species
GAUGAACGCUGGCGGCGUGCCUAACACAUGCAAGUCGAGCGAGCGGCGGACGGGUGAGUAAUGUCUGGGAAACUGCCCGAUGGAGGGGGAUAACUACUGGAAACGGUAGCUAAUACCGCAUACCAUCAGAUGUGCCCAGAUGGGAUUAGCUAGUAGGUGGGGUAACGGCCUACCGAGGCGACGAUCCCUAGCUGGUCUGAGAGGAUGAUCAGCCACAUUGGAACGGAGACACGGUCCAGACUCCUACGGGAGGCAGCAGUGGGGAAUAUUGGACAAUGGGCGAAAGCCUGAUGCAGCCAUGCCGCGUGUGUGAAGAAGGCCUUCGGGUUGUAAAGCACUUUCAGCGGGGAGGCGUUACCCGCAGAAGAAGCACCGGCUAACUCCGUGCCAGCAGCCGCGGUAAUAC